UUAAGCGACUAAGCGUACACGGUGGAUGCCCUGGCAGUCAGAGGCGAUGAAGGACGUGCUAAUCUGCGAUAAGCGUCGGUAAGGUGAUAUGAACCGUUAUAACCGGCGAUUUCCGAAUGGGGAAACCCAGUGUGUUUCGACACACUAUCAUUAACUGAAUCCAUAGGUUAAUGAGGCGAACCGGGGGAACUGAAACAUCUAAGUACCCCGAGGAAAAGAAAUCAACCGAGAUUCCCCCAGUAGCGGCGAGCGAACGGGGAGGAGCCCAGAGCCUGAAUCAGUGUGUGUGUUAGUGGAAGCGUCUGGAAAGGCGCGCGAUACAGGGUGACAGCCCCGUACACAAAAAUGCACAUGCUGUGAGCUCGAUGAGUAGGGCGGGACACGUGGUAUCCUGUCUGAAUAUGGGGGGACCAUCCUCCAAGGCUAAAUACUCCUGACUGACCGAUAGUGAACCAGUACCGUGAGGGAAAGGCGAAAAGAACCCCGGCGAGGGGAGUGAAAAAGAACCUGAAACCGUGUACGUACAAGCAGUGGGAGCACGCUUAGGCGUGNNNNNNNNNNUGAGGGAAAGGCGAAAAGAACCCCGGCGAGGGGAGUGAAAAAGAACCUGAAACCGUGUACGUACAAGCAGUGGGAGCCUCUUUAUGGGGUGACUGCGUACCUUUUGUAUAAUGGGUCAGCGACUUAUAUUCUGUAGCAAGGUUAACCGAAUAGGGGAGCCGAAGGGAAACCGAGUCUUAACUGGGCGUUAAGUUGCAGGGUAUAGACCCGAAACCCGGUGAUCUAGCCAUGGGCAGGUUGAAGGUUGGGUAACACUAACUGGAGGACCGAACCGACUAAUGUUGAAAAAUUAGCGGAUGACUUGUGGCUGGGGGUGAAAGGCCAAUCAAACCGGGAGAUAGCUGGUUCUCCCCGAAAGCUAUUUAGGUAGCGCCUCGUGAAUUCAUCUCCGGGGGUAGAGCACUGUUUCGGCAAGGGGGUCAUCCCGACUUACCAACCCGAUGCAAACUGCGAAUACCGGAGAAUGUUAUCACGGGAGACACACGGCGGGUGCUAACGUCCGUCGUGAAGAGGGAAACAACCCAGACCGCCAGCUAAGGUCCCAAAGUCAUGGUUAAGUGGGAAACGAUGUGGGAAGGCCCAGACAGCCAGGAUGUUGGCUUAGAAGCAGCCAUCAUUUAAAGAAAGCGUAAUAGCUCACUGGUCGAGUCGGCCUGCGCGGAAGAUGUAACGGGGCUAAACCAUGCACCGAAGCUGCGGCAGCGACGCUUAUGCGUUGUUGGGUAGGGGAGCGUUCUGUAAGCCUGUGAAGGUGUGCUGUGAGGCAUGCUGGAGGUAUCAGAAGUGCGAAUGCUGACAUAAGUAACGAUAAAGCGGGUGAAAAGCCCGCUCGCCGGAAGACCAAGGGUUCCUGUCCAACGUUAAUCGGGGCAGGGUGAGUCGACCCCUAAGGCGAGGCCGAAAGGCGUAGUCGAUGGGAAACAGGUUAAUAUUCCUGUACUUGGUGUUACUGCGAAGGGGGGACGGAGAAGGCUAUGUUGGCCGGGCGACGGUUGUCCCGGUUUAAGCGUGUAGGCUGGUUUUCCAGGCAAAUCCGGAAAAUCAAGGCUGAGGCGUGAUGACGAGGCACUACGGUGCUGAAGCAACAAAUGCCCUGCUUCCAGGAAAAGCCUCUAAGCAUCAGGUAACAUCAAAUCGUACCCCAAACCGACACAGGUGGUCAGGUAGAGAAUACCAAGGCGCUUGAGAGAACUCGGGUGAAGGAACUAGGCAAAAUGGUGCCGUAACUUCGGGAGAAGGCACGCUGAUAUGUAGGUGAAGUCCCUCGCGGAUGGAGCUGAAAUCAGUCGAAGAUACCAGCUGGCUGCAACUGUUUAUUAAAAACACAGCACUGUGCAAACACGAAAGUGGACGUAUACGGUGUGACGCCUGCCCGGUGCCGGAAGGUUAAUUGAUGGGGUCAGCGCAAGCGAAGCUCUUGAUCGAAGCCCCGGUAAACGGCGGCCGUAACUAUAACGGUCCUAAGGUAGCGAAAUUCCUUGUCGGGUAAGUUCCGACCUGCACGAAUGGCGUAAUGAUGGCCAGGCUGUCUCCACCCGAGACUCAGUGAAAUUGAACUCGCUGUGAAGAUGCAGUGUACCCGCGGCAAGACGGAAAGACCCCGUGAACCUUUACUAUAGCUUGACACUGAACAUUGAGCCUUGAUGUGUAGGAUAGGUGGGAGGCUUAGAAGUGUGGACGCCAGUCUGCAUGGAGCCGACCUUGAAAUACCACCCUUUAAUGUUUGAUGUUCUAACGUUGACCCGUAAUCCGGGUUGCGGACAGUGUCUGGUGGGUAGUUUGACUGGGGCGGUCUCCUCCUAAAGAGUAACGGAGGAGCACGAAGGUUGGCUAAUCCUGGUCGGACAUCAGGAGGUUAGUGCAAUGGCAUAAGCCAGCUUGACUGCGAGCGUGACGGCGCGAGCAGGUGCGAAAGCAGGUCAUAGUGAUCCGGUGGUUCUGAAUGGAAGGGCCAUCGCUCAACGGAUAAAAGGUACUCCGGGGAUAACAGGCUGAUACCGCCCAAGAGUUCAUAUCGACGGCGGUGUUUGGCACCUCGAUGUCGGCUCAUCACAUCCUGGGGCUGAAGUAGGUCCCAAGGGUAUGGCUGUUCGCCAUUUAAAGUGGUACGCGAGCUGGGUUUAGAACGUCGUGAGACAGUUCGGUCCCUAUCUGCCGUGGGCGCUGGAGAACUGAGGGGGGCUGCUCCUAGUACGAGAGGACCGGAGUGGACGCAUCACUGGUGUUCGGGUUGUCAUGCCAAUGGCACUGCCCGGUAGCUAAAUGCGGAAGAGAUAAGUGCUGAAAGCAUCUAAGCACGAAACUUGCCCCGAGAUGAGUUCUCCCUGACUCCUUGAGAGUCCUGAAGGAACGUUGAAGACGACGACGUUGAUAGGCCGGGUGUGUAAGCGCAGCGAUGCGUUGAGCUAACCGGUACUAAUGAACCGUGAGGCUUAACCUU
rnacentral:rRNA from 1 species